UGCUUUUAGUUUAAUUCAUGGCAUCCUGUUUUUACGGAGCUACAGUACAAUGCUGUAAUAACUAAAUUUUGAAUUGCUAAAAUCUAGGUUUCAUAUGUGCAAGCUUAGCUAACAGCUUAUAAAGUUUUAAGUCCAACAAGAUAUCACUAAACUCCAAAGAUUAUGCAUUAUUGAAUCAUGCUCUCAUAAAUUCCUGCUGAGUUACUCUUAUUGGUAUGAGACACAAAACCAGUGACAGCAUCUUGGUUCUCUGCUCCUUGCUCUGAUACUGCCAGGGCACCUGGGUUGGUCAUGAUCUUGCUCUCAGAUGCCUAUUUGUAAAACAGAAUUAUUAACAGUGACAGAAUUAUUAACAGUUCUCAUCUUGAAGAUGAGGAAUGCAGAGCAGUAAAUAUAAAUAUUACAGGAGAUGUCUCAGUACUGGCCUCUUCACGUUCCUUCCUCCCCAGGUUAUAAAUACAGAGAGGAAUGCAAAGUAGAUACGACCACUGAAUCUACCUUAGUUAAUAGGCUGAAGUUUAUUUUUUUUUAACCUGAAAAGCAAACCAUCAUCCUAACUGGUAUUUGCAAUGCCUUUUUCUGCACUAACAGCUUCACUGACAAACCCUGUCACCAGAGACUCAAACUUUUUUUAUAGCUCCCUUCAGUCCUCACCUCCUGAUGCACAGAAUGUAUCUUGCCACCUGACUCACUCCCCUCCAGCUAUUUUUAGAAGCUUUUCCAUUUGAUGGACCACUGCAGAUCACAUUCAAAGAGCAUCAACUGCAUUUAAGUGAAGUUACAAAUGUGACAAACUGACAAAUCUGUGAAGAAAGACUAACCCAAACUACUCAUACUGCAGUGAACAAAUGAAUCCCAAGAUCAUUCUCUCUGUAGUGGGUGACUGCUGUAAAGUUCUAUGUUUAUCUCAUAACCCCAUAGAUACUUGAUUUUUUUUCCCUGUCAUUUUCUCUCUAUAAACAUCUACAAAAGAGUUUUAAAAGCAUACUUCUUCAUCUUACCCAGGGGAGCCAUUUCAAUCACUCAGUCAAACAUAUAUUCAUCAACUAAAUAACACUUAUUCAUUUAAACUGCUGUUUUAUUUACCCAGCUGAAUUACUAUUUUGGCAUAUACAUUUGAAAAGACUGUUUUUAGCAUUCGAGUGUAUUUGCCUUUGAAGCUAUCAGACAGGCAAUCCAUGACAACAGCGAUGCAAACUCCCCCUGCUACGUUGUCAGCAGGUCUCAUCUGUGAGCUGGAGGUCAGAUUCAAGGUGGCAGUGGAUGGGACAUGCCCAGUCAGCCUUUAAUUUAACUGAUGUCAAGCAGUGUCAGCCAUGGAGGCAGAGCUGUAUUUACACUGAAACCAGAUAUACUUGAUUAUUUAUAACUACAGUAUCCUACACUGUAGCUAAAAUUAAAAAUAAAAAUGAAAUCUAGCUACCAGCAAUGUCACACUACAGACAUCACAUUUAAACAGCAAUUAACUCCAGUGCUGUGGCUGUGUGCCUCUAUCAUGGGGAUGACUGCAAAUUGCAUCUUGAUGGUACUCUUGAAAAAUACCUACCAGAAUAACCAUACCAAUGGAUCAGAAAUGAGCUACCAAGAUAAUGUGGACAACCUCAAGUUAAAUACAAGGAAUAAAUAUCACCACGCCAGAGAUUUUCACAGAUGACUUGGAAUUCUGAAGAAAUUUGUGGUACAGCUGUGUAAAGGAAACCAUUCAAUAUAAAAAUAGACUCCACGGACUUUUUGCCAAAAAAGACCAUGUGAGAAUUACUAUGGUUCUUCAUGAUAGUUUAACUUCUUUCCUUAAGUAAAUUUGCUACUUAUAUGA